rnacentral:rRNA from 1 species
UAGGGAAUCUUCCGCAAUGGACGCAAGUCUGACGGAGCAACGCCGCGUGAGUGAAGAAGGAUUUCGGUUCGUAAAACUCUGUUGUUAGAGAAGAACAGCGCAUAGAGUAACUGUUAUGCGUGUGACGGUAUCUAACCAGAAAGCCACGGCUAACUACGUGCCAGCAGCCGCGGUAAUACGUAGGUGGCAAGCGUUGUCCGGAUUUAUUGGGCGUAAAGCGAGCGCAGGCGGUCAAUUAAGUCUGAUGUGAAAGCCCCCGGCUCAACCGGGGAGGGUCAUUGGAAACUGUUUAACUUGAGUGCAGAAGGGGAGAGUGGAAUUCCAUGUGUAGCGGUGAAAUGCGUAGAUAUAUGGAGGAACACCGGUGGCGAAAGCGGCUCUCUGGUCUGUAACUGACGCUGAGGUUCGAAAGCGUGGGUAGCAAACAGG